CUCUUUCCGCUGCCACCCACCCCUUCCCCUACGGACGCCCCCCGGACGCCGGCCCCAUCCCACACCUCUCCCCGGGGCACCCCAAACCCACAGCCACGCAUGCCGGCGGAGCAUCGCCCCCUGCGCACAGGGUACACGUGGCUGGGGGGGUGUUUGGGGCUGUGCACCCCCACCCCCCCACCCUGGGGACACGGGCACACCAUCCUCGCCCAGGCGUGUGACCGUGCUUUGGGGUCUGGUGUGGGUGGCAACCCCCGUGUGACGCCCCCCCCGGAGCCGAUGGAAACCCGCAGCCGGCACGGACGCCUCCAGAAUCGACACCCGAAAUUCGUUUUGCCACGUGCGAACGCAGAGAAAUCCCCAGACCGGAGCGAUCGGGUUGUGAACACGGAGCCGAAAUCCCCCGUGGCUUUAAUAACCCAGCGCUAAGCGUGCGCCCGCGGCAAACCCUGCCCUAAACGGGGGGAUCCGUGCAGGUUGCUCACACUCCGAACUUCCUUUCCAUCGCCCAAGCCAGAGAAAUGGACCUCCCUGCGACGGAGCAGCUUGGGGUUUUAAGCGAUUGGAGCGUUUCAAGGAAAUUUGGGGGCUGAUUUCCUUUUCGAAGGGCUGGUGUCGAUUCCCCCGCUGGCGUGGCAGCACCCCGGCGAUGGCUGCGGGAGCCUCCGGGUGGGACAAAGGAAUCCCUUGCGUUCGCCUUUGAAACGCGUUUUUUUUUUUUUUCCUCCCGUUUAGCAUCCUGCCUUCCACGGCGGCUUCAAAAUCGGAAGUCAGAAAUGCCAGUAUUUGGCUCCCCACGGGAAGAGACGGGAGAGACGCUCUGCCCAUCGGCGUUUCUACCCUGCAAGGCUUUGGGAUGGGCAGAAGGGCGGUGGUGGGAUGCUGCCGCUGCUCGUCCCAGUGAAACGAACCAGACAGGUUCCUCGGAGCCCUGUGGCAUGGAGGGAGCUGCUCCGGUGCUGGGCCAGGAGGGAAGGAGCAGGGCCAGGAGCACCAGCGGCUGCUGCAGGGCCCCAUGGCAAACCCAGAUGGGUGAAAGAACAGCAGUACCGUGCACAGUCUUGGGAAGGGACUGGUGGGCUGCAGGGCAGAAGGACCCUCAGGGGACACAAGGAGCAAAGACUCUGUCCCAGGUGAUUUUAUCCAGCCCAAAACCUUGCCAAGCUCUCGGAGCAUUUGAAAAAGUCAAUCAAGCCCAUCAGUUUUAAUUAAAGCCGUUUCCCCAGUUGGACGCUGCCUGAGCUGCAGGGGCAUCGCCUGGCACAGGGACGGGUCCAAAGGGCCCGAUCCUGCCCGAUGCUGAGCACUGCCAGCUCCCAGGGGAUUAAACGUGUCCUGAGAACAACUUAACUCUCUCAAUCAGCUCGGCCCCCGGCCGGGCGAUAUUAAAACACCCCCGUAAGCCCUGUUGUCUCGGGGAUGAUUGCAAUAAACCCACCGGCACGCCAGAUUAGCGGGUCA
rnacentral:lncRNA from 1 species